UUUUACAGGACUGUUGUGUAAAGAGUUACAUCUAAGAGAUACAUGCUUUGGAGAAGAUCCUAUCCUCAGGCAACUGUUCCCGCUCAGCACUUCUCCAGCUGCAAAGGAAGUCACAGAAGAGGAGAGGCUAGAUAGACAGAACCAUUUUUUCCACCAAGACCGUUACAGGCAAAAUAAAACAGCUUCACUUUCCCCACCAGAGGAUAGUGGCAUGCUCACCACCACUAUGCCACCCAACAUAAGGAAUUUCAUGGACCAGCAUUCAGUCCAGCAUACAGGAGGGAGCAGGAGUCCUAAUGAGGAGGUGGCUGAGCACGCCCU